AGGCCAGCGAGCCAGCUUGUGCAGGUGCUGGAAGGAGGUUCUGCUGCGGCUUCCAUUCGUCCCCCUAUGAAUCGCCUACAUCAGGGUUCCAGGCAGCUGAGAUCACAGUUCACAGGCCUACAGAUCAAGAGGAACUGUACAGGAGGAGCUGUAUUUCAGAAAGUCAUCCAAGGAGCCUCAUCUGAACCUGGACCUGAUUAGAUGACAAGACCCAGGACUUCAAGUUGAGGCUUCGGUGGAAUGAGACUUUGGGGGACCUUGGAAAGGGGACGAAUCCCCAGAAAUGAAAUUGUUGCAUCAUGAGCAUGUGUAUUCCCCUUGAUUAGCUUUCUCUGCUUCUCAGACAUGCAGCUGAAGAAGGCUACCUCUCACCUGCCUCAGCGCCAGCAGCCAAAGGAGACAAGCACCUGUGAGUCCCAAUUCUAAAUUCCCACAGAUAGAAUCUGAUUGGCCCGAUUUGGGUCAGAUAUCCACCCUAAUCAAAUUCUCUGUGACUGAUUGGGGGAGCUGGGAGCCGGAGGACAGGUUCAGGCCCAGCUCCAUGAAAUUGAGAACAAUUCCCAGAAGAAGAAGGAAGAUUAUGGAAUGGAUGGGACAAGCAUCCCCCAGAUUGCCACAAACUCUGAGUCAGAAAUGUUUCAGAGUUUGGAACAUUUUUUUCUUUUUGGAACUUUCUGGAAUUUUUUUUUUGAAGUAUAGUUUAUUUACAA